GAGGGUGUAGCUUAAUGGUAGGGUGCAUGCUUAGCAUGCACAAGAUCUUGGGUUCAAUCCCCAGUACCUCUA
rnacentral:tRNA from 1 species